UACGGAGGAUGCAAGCGUUAUCCGGAAUGAUUGGGCGUAAAGCGUCCGCAGGUGGCUGUGUAAGUCUGCUGUUAAAUAGUGAGGCUCAACCUCAUAAAGGCAGUGGAAACUACACGGCUAGAGUGCGUUCGGGGCAGAGGGAAUUCCUGGUGUAGCGGUGAAAUGCGUAGAGAUCAGGAAGAACACCGGUGGCGAAAGCGCUAUGCUAGGCCGCAACUGACACUGAGGGACGAAAGCUAGGGGAGCAAACAGG
rnacentral:rRNA from 1 species